rnacentral:rRNA from 1 species
GAUGAACGCUGGCGGCGUGCCUAAUACAUGCAAGUCGAACGAACAGAUGAGGAGCUUGCUCCUCUGACGUUAGCGGCGGACGGGUGAGUAACACGUGGAUAACCUACCUAUAAGACUGGGAUAACUUCGGGAAACCGGAGCUAAUACCGGAUAAUAUAUUGAACCGCAUGGUUCAAUAGUGAAAGACGGUUUUGCUGUCACUUAUAGAUGGAUCCGCGCCGCAUUAGCUAGUUGGUAAGGUAACGGCUUACCAAGGCAACGAUGCGUAGCCGACCUGAGAGGGUGAUCGGCCACACUGGAACUGAGACACGGUCCAGACUCCUACGGGAGGCAGCAGUAGGGAAUCUUCCGCAAUGGGCGAAAGCCUGACGGAGCAACGCCGCGUGAGUGAUGAAGGUCUUCGGAUCGUAAAACUCUGUUAUUAGGGAAGAACAAAUGUGUAAGCAACUAUGCACGUCUUGACGGUACCUAAUCAGAAAGCCACGGCUAACUACGUG